GCCAGAUUGCGGUGUGUGAAGACGAAACGAACCGAAAGUUCGAUUCUUGCAAACACCGACUUCUAUUACAUACCCAAUUUGCUGAAGCGAGGCCAGCUGGCCACGACUCAGUACCCGAAUUUCUUGACGACCAUAGAGCAUUGGAACCACCUGAUCCCAUCCCGAACUCAGUAGUGAAACGAUGCAUCGCCGAUGGUAGUGUGGGGUUUCCCCAUGUGAGAGUAGGUCAUCGUCAAGA
rnacentral:rRNA from 1 species